rnacentral:rRNA from 1 species
UAACGGUUUCCGGGAAUUUUUUGGGCGUAAGGGCUCGCAGGCGGUUUCUUAAGUCUGAUGUGAAAAGCCCCCGGCUUCCCGGGGAGGGUCAUUGGAAACUGGGAAACUUGAGUGCCGCACAGGAGAGUGGAAUUCUCCCUGUCCUGCCUCAAAUGCCCCCACUUGUGGAGGAACACCAGUGGCGAAGGCGACUCUCUGGUCUGUAACUGACGCUGAGGAGCGAAAGCGUGGGGAGCGAACAGGAUUAGAUACCCUGGUAGUCCACGCCGUAAACGAUGAGUGCUAAGUGUUAGGGGGUUUCCGCCCCUUAGUGCUGCAGCUAACGCAUUAAGCACUCCGCCUGGGGAGUACGGUCGCAAGACU